AUUUCUCCAGCACCUGCUUUUCCUCAUAGAUGAACAUUUCUGCAUUGGCAUACAUGGGCGCCAUGGCUGCCCCCAUGGAUGUACCAGCUACCUGAAGGUACCACAUGUCCUCAAAUCUAAAAUACCGUAUAUACUCGAGUAUAAGCCGACCCGAAUAUAAGCCGAGGCCCCUAAUUUUACCCCAAAAAACUGGGAAAACGUAUUGACUCGAGUAUAAGACUAGGGUGGGAAAUGCAG